AAAUGAAUAGACGGGAGCCCGCACAAGCAGUGGAGUAUGUGGUUUAAUUCGAAGCAACGCGAAGAACCUUACCAGGGCUUGACAUCCACAGAAGGCCGAAUAAACUCGGCUGUGCCUUCGGGAACUGUGAGACAGGUGGUGCAUGGUUGUCGUCAGCUCGUGUCGUGAGAUGUUGGGUUAAGUCCCGCAACGAGCGCAACCCUUACUGUUAGUUGCUACGGAAGAGCACUCUAGCAGGACUGCCGUUGACAAAGCGGAGGAAGGCGGGGACGACGUCAAAUCAUCAUGCCCCUUACGCUCUGGGCUACACACGUACUACAAUGGCGCAAACAGAGGGGAGCAAAGCCGCGAGGCGGAGCAAAUCCCUAAAAAGCGCCCCAGUUCAGAUUGCAGGCUGCAACUCGCCUGCAUGAAGUCGGAAUUGCUAGUAAUCGCGAAUCAGAAUGUCGCGGUGAAUACGUUCCCGGGCUUUGUACACACCGCCCGU
rnacentral:rRNA from 1 species